rnacentral:rRNA from 1 species
CACGGGGGGAGCAAGCGUUGUUCGGAAUCACUGGGCGUAAAGGGCGUGUAGGCGGUCAGGUAAGUGGGAUGUGAAAGCCCUCGGCUCACCCGAGGAUCUGCAUCUCAAACUGCCUGGCUUGAGUAUGGGAGAGGAUGAGGGAAUUCCUGGUGUAGCGGUGAAAUGCGUAGAUAUCAGGAGGAACACCGGUGGCGAAGGCGCUCAUCUGGCCCAAUACUGACGCUGAGGCGCGAAAGCUAGGGGAGCAAACAGG